UACGGGGGGGGCAAGCGUUGUUCGGAAUUACUGGGCGUAAAGGGCGCGUAGGCGGCCUGCUAAGUCGGAUGUGAAAUCCCUCGGCUCAACCGAGGAACUGCAUCCGAUACUGGGGGGCUUGAAUCCGGGAGAGGGAUGUGGAAUUCCAGGUGUAGCGGUGAAAUGCGUAGAUAUCUGGAGGAACACCGGUGGCGAAGGCGGCAUCCUGGACCGGUAUUGACGCUGAGGCGCGAAAGCGUGGGGAUCAAACAGG
rnacentral:rRNA from 1 species